rnacentral:rRNA from 1 species
GGGGAAACCCAGGCUAAUACCGCAUACGUCCUACGGGAGAAAGGGGGCUCCGGCUCCCGCUAUUGGAUGAGCCUAUGUCGGAUUAGCUAGUUGGUGAGGUAAUGGCUCACCAAGGCAACGAUCCGUAGCUGGUCUGAGAGGAUGAUCAGCCACAUCGGGACUGAGACACGGCCCGAACUCCUACGGGAGGCAGCAGUGGGGAAUAUUGGACAAUGGGGGAAACCCUGAUCCAGCCAUGCCGCGUGUGUGAAGAAGGCCCUCGGGUUGUAAAGCACUUUCAGCGAGGAAGAACGCCUAACGGUUAAUACCCGCUAGGAAAGACAUCACUCGCAGAAGAAGCACCGGCUAACUCCGUGCCAGCAGCCGCGGUAAUACGGAGGGUGCAAGCGUUAAUCGGAAUUACUGGGCGUAAAGCGCGCGUAGGUGGAUUGAUAAGCCGGUUGUGAAAGCCCCGGGCUCAACCUGGGAACGGCAUCCGGAACUGUCAAGCUAGAGUGCAGGAGAGGAAGGUAGAAUUCCCGGUGUAGCGGUGAAAUGCGUAGAGAUCGGGAGGAAUACCAGUGGCGAAGGCGGCCUUCUGGACAGACACUGACACUGAGGUGCGAAAGCGUGGGUAGCAAACAGGAUUAGAUACCCUGGUAGUCCACGCCGUAAACGAUGUCGACCAGCCGUUGGGUGCCUAGCGCACUUUGUGGCGAAGUUAACGCGAUAAGUCGACCGCCUGGGGAGUACGGCCGCAAGGUUAAAACUCAAAUGAAUUGACGGGGGCCCGCACAAGCGGCGGAGCAUGUGGUUUAAUUCGAUGCAACGCGAAGAACCUUACCUACUCUUGACAUCCUGCGAAUUUGGUAGAGAUACCUUAGUGCCUUCGGGAACGCAGAGACAGGUGCUGCAUGGCUGUCGUCAGCUCGUGUUGUGAAAUGUUGGGUUAAGUCCCGUAACGAGCGCAACCCUUGUCCUUAUUUGCCAGCGCGUAAUGGCGGGAACUCUAAGGAGACUGCCGGUGACAAACCGGAGGAAGGUGGGGACGACGUCAAGUCAUCAUGGCCCUUACGAGUAGGGCUACACACGUGCUACAAUGGUCGGUACAAAGGGUUGCCAACUCGCGAGAGUGAGCUAAUCCCGAAAAGCCGAUCUCAGUCCGGAUCGGAGUCUGCAACUCGACUCCGUGAAGUCGGAAUCGCUAGUAAUCGUGGAUCAGAAUGCCACGGUGAAUACGUUCCCGGGCCUUGU